UACGAAGGGUGCAAGCGUUACUCGGAAUUACUGGGCGUAAAGCGUGCGCAGGCGGUUAUGUAAGACAGAUGUGAAAUGCCCGGGCUUAACCUGGGAACUGCAUUUGUGACUGCAUGGCUAGAAUCUGGCAGAGGGGGGUAGAAUUCCACGUGUAGCAGUGAAAUGCGUAGAUAUGCGGAGGAACACCGAUGGCGAAGGCAAUCCCCUGGACCUG
rnacentral:rRNA from 1 species